CAGCGUGGGAGGUGAGUGUCUGCUUCAGGGGAGGCCAGAGGCACUGCCCAGGGCUGUUAAACCCUCCAGUGCCGGUAAUUAUGGGGGGGCGGUAAUUAUCCUGGGGGGCCAGAGGAGCCUGGAGCACUGGGAAUAAUAAUAGCACUGUGGGGGGAGGGCCGGGGUGGGGAGGGGCUGUCCUGGAUCAAACUCGGCCACAUUUGCUCAACCUCCACUUGGUGAGCCGUGUCACCCACAUGCACUCAGGAAUCAAUAUUCAUGCGACGGUGGCUGCACUGACAAGACUCCUCCUCGCUCAGGGCUGGGCCUGACCUCCCGGAGGGUGGCUGUGACACAGUGCGGCCCAGAGACCUCCGGGAACUUGCCCAGGAUCACACAGCUCCGGUGGGGGCUCCUCAGGGGCGCAGUGCGGACCACAUGGCAGCGGAGAGUGGCCCUCAGUCCUGAGCGCCUCCAUGUGCCAGGAUAGCCCACCACGUCCUACAGACACAAGCCUCAAGCAGAAGACCAAACUGCCGAUGACCCACCCAGGCCGACUCCUUUUCCGCGGCCGGUGCGCAGAGGCUUGGUGACUUGGAGAAUGGAGAAUAAGUUCCCACCUUCACUGAGACGGACAGAGAAUGGAUGUGGAAGGGGGGGCGAUGGAAAGCCGGGCGGGGGUUUUUGUGUACAAAUACUUGCGGGAAAAGGCAGUCUACCCCGCCCACAUGAAGAGCUGUAAUUACUCCUUACAGAACAGAAUUCUUUUGUUGUCCGGC